rnacentral:tRNA from 1 species
GCCAGCGUAGCUCAGAGGCAGAGCAACGGUUUCGUAAACCGUCGGUCGUCGGUUCGAAUCCGACCGCUGGCUCCA